UACGAAGGGGGCUAGCGUUGCUCGGAAUCACUGGGCGUAAAGGGUGCGUAGGCGGGUCUUUAAGUCAGGGGUGAAAUCCUGGAGCUCAACUCCAGAACUGCCCUUGAUACUGAGGAUCUUGAGUUCGGGAGAGGUGAGUGGAACUGCGAGUGUAGAGGUGAAAUUCGUAGAUAUUCGCAAGAACACCAGUGGCGAAGGCGGCUCACUGGCCCGAUACUGACGCUGAGGCACGAAAGCGUGGGGAGCAACAGG
rnacentral:rRNA from 1 species